UAGGGAAUCUUCGGCAAUGGACGAAAGUCUGACCGAGCAACGCCGCGUGAGUGAAGAAGGUUUUCGGAUCGUAAAACUCUGUUGUUAGAGAAGAACAAGGACGUUAGUAACUGAACGUCCCCUGACGGUAUCUAACCAGAAAGCCACGGCUAACUACGUGCCAGCAGCCGCGGUAAUACGUAGGUGGCAAGCGUUGUCCGGAUUUAUUGGGCGUAAAGCGAGCGCAGGCGGUUUCUUAAGUCUGAUGUGAAAGCCCCCGGCUCAACCGGGGAGGGUCAUUGGAAACUGGGAGACUUGAGUGCAGAAGAGGGGAGUGGAAUUCCAUGUGUAGCGGUGAAGUGCGUAGAUAUAUGGAGGAACACCAGUGGCGAAGGCGGAUCUCUGGUCUGUAACUGACGCUGAGGCUCGAAAGCGUGGGGAGCAAACAGG
rnacentral:rRNA from 1 species